GACGGUGUGUGUGUGUGUGUUUAUAGGCUAGUGGCAAAUGGUCAGAAAGGGCUUUAGUUUUUGAGAUACCCCUACCGGAGGUAGAACUAAACCCAACAAUGUUUUUCCUCAUCUCUAAGGUCUCCCAUAUAUGAAAUGGAU